CUCCCACAACCUAACGUUGUCCUGGAAAGAUAAUAGUGUCAAUGAAAAUUUUGGUAGCAUCUCCCCUACACAAGGAGGUUUCCAAAACCUACAACAAAACAGCGGCACGAUGGCCGACAAAUACAACGACACGAUGGCCAGCUAACACAACAGCAUGAUGUUCAGUAACCAUAGCGGCACGAGGGCCGGCUAACACAGCGACACGAUGGCUGGCAACCACUACAACAACUACCUUGUGUGCAAUGAAGGGCGGUGGUGCUCACGGUGUUGGGGCGAUGAUCGUCAGGGCGUCGCGGGACAGACACGGCGAGCGCGGCAACCGGCAACCCCUUUCUCCUUCUGCUGCUCCU
rnacentral:lncRNA from 1 species